UAAAGCGUGCGCAGGCGGUUUGUAAGACUGUCGUGAAAUCCCCGGGCUCAACCUGGGAACUGCAUUUGUGACUGCAUGGCUAGAGUACGGUAGAGGGGGAUGGAAUUCCGCGUGUAGCAGUGAAAUGCGUAGAUAUGCGGAGGAACACCGAUGGCGAAGGCAAUCCCCUGGACCUGUACUGACGCUCAUGCACGAAAGCGUGGGGAGCAAACAGGAUUAGAUACCCUUGU
rnacentral:rRNA from 1 species